rnacentral:rRNA from 1 species
AUACGUAUGGGGCAAGCGUUAUCCGGAUUCAUUGGGCGUAAAGCGCGUGUAGGCGGCUUGUUAAGUCAGAUGUGAAAACCGGGGGCUUAACCCGCGGCGUGCAUCUGAAACUGGCAGGCUUGAGUCUGGUAGAGGAAAGUGGAAUUCCUAGUGUAGCGGUGAAAUGCGCAGAUAUUAGGAGGAACACCAGUGGCGAAGGCGGCUUUCUGGGCCACGACUGACGCUGAGACGCGAAAGCUAGGGGAGCAAACAGGAUUAGAAACCCGUGUAGUCC